UACAGAGGGUGCAAACGUUGUUCGGAAUUACUGGGCGUAAAGCGUGUGUAGGCGGUUUUGUAAGUCGGGCGUGAAAGCCCCGGGCUCAACCCGGGAAGUGCACUCGAUACUGCAGAACUUUGAGUUUCGGAGAGGUUGGUAGAAUUCUUGGUGUAGAGGUGAAAUUCGUAGAUAUCAAGAGGAAUACCGGUGGCGAAGGCGGCCAACUGGACGAAAACUGACGCUGAGACACGAAAGCAUGGGGAGCAAACAGG
rnacentral:rRNA from 1 species